rnacentral:rRNA from 1 species
UACGAAGGGGGCUAGCGUUGCUCGGAAUCACUGGGCGUAAAGCGCACGUAGGCGGAUCUUUAAGUCAGGGGUGAAAUCCCGGAGCUCAACUCCGGAACUGCCUUUGAUACUGGGGAUCUUGAGUCCGGAAGAGGUGAGUGGAACUGCGAGUGUAGAGGUGAAAUUCGUAGAUAUUCGCAAGAACACCAGUGGCGAAGGCGGCUCACUGGUCCGGUACUGACGCUGAGGUGCGAAAGCGUGGGGAGCAAACAGG